UACGGGGGGGGGCAAGCGUUGUUCGGAAUUACUGGGCGUAAAGGGCUCGUAGGCGGCCAACUAAGUCGGAUGUGAAAUCCCCAGGCUUAACCUGGGAAUUGCAUCCGAUACUGGAUGGCUUGAAUCCGGGAGAGGGAUGCGGAAUUCCAGGUGUAGCGGUGAAAUGCGUAGAUAUCUGGAGGAACACCGGUGGCGAAGGCGGCAUCCUGGACCGGCAUUGACGCUGAGGAGCGAAAGCCAGGGGAGCAAAACGGG
rnacentral:rRNA from 1 species